UACGGGGGGAGCAAGCGUUGUUCGGAAUCACUGGGCGUAAAGGGCGUGUAGGCGGUUCGGUAAGUGGGAUGUGAAAUCCCUCGGCUCACCCGAGGACCUGCAUCCCAUACUGCUGAGCUUGAGUACAGGAGAGGGUGGGGGAAUUCCUGGUGUAGCGGUGAAAUGCGUAGAUAUCAGGAGGAACACCGGUGGCGAAGGCGCCCACCUGGCCUGCUACUGACGCUGAUGCGCGAAAGCUAGGGGAGCAAACGGGAUUAGAAACCCCGGUAGUCC
rnacentral:rRNA from 1 species